rnacentral:lncRNA from 1 species
GAGACAGCAGCAGCCCCUGCCCUCUGAGAGGGGUUGGGAGGGUGAAUGGGUUAAGCACCCUGUGAGGCACUCAGAAGGGUCCCGGGCACUCAGGGAGCCCCGUGGAAAGGUCUGGGCUCUGCUGGCAGCAGUGUAUCCACCGCCCCAGCGACUCUAAGCCUUGGUUCUCAUGGGCAGGGAGGGAGAUGUGGUACUGGCCGGUUGGCCCGGGCAGGCUGGUGGGUCANGUGUGUGCCCCCAUCCUGAGGUUGAGGGCAGAUGACUGAGGAGUCGGAAAGGAGCCUGGCACCGUGAUCAAGGCAUCACAAGGAGGCCCUGGGAAGCCACACAGGAGCCCAAAUCCUCUUCUGAGAACUUAAUCCCCCUACCCCACCCCCGGAUCGGCUGGGGCUAGAUCUUGGUGGGAGGUCUUGGGGGUGAGCCACCAGGGCUAAUUAUAAACCCGCUGGUUUGGGGCUCUCACCGCCCCACUGAAGGGCUUCUGCGGCCCAUGUGGUCUGGGUUGUUAUCCUUGGAGAGAUGAGGGCCUCGGAGGGGGUUGGGGGAGGUGGACUCGGGGGUCAAGGGUUCAACUUGCAGCUGUCACUUAAGAAACACAGAACAGGUCACUGUGCCCUGCCAAGCCUCAGCUUUCUCAUCUGUAAAAUGGGGAUGACAGUGUCAUGGGAUGGUGGUGGGCUAUGUGGAUGUGUCCAAUNNNNNNNNNNNNNNNNNNNNNNNNNNNNNNNNNNNACACGUCUCGGGUGCUUAGUAGGGUGUGUGGUGCAUUGUAGGCCUCCUGCUCCCUCCUGCCUUCCCUCUCAGCGCAGUCAGUCUGCUGACCACCCGCCCACUCACACGCUGGUCUGGUUUUCCUCUUCAUAAGCAGGACUGAGACCCACAGGCGCAGAUUUGGGGCCUGUUUCUUCCUGCCUGUCUUCAUGGCCCCAGCGUCCCCUGCCUGGCCUCCUGUAGCAGACUUCUUGCUGGCCUCUCAGCCUCUAGCUCUUCUCCAAGCUGUCCUUAAAGCCGGCAGCCAAGAUGGUCUUUUGAAAGCGAUGCGCACGUCCAGUUCCAGAACCUUCCGUGGCUCCCCAGUGUCUCCAAGGUUGCCCCCCAGCUCCUUGAGAUGGUGUCGUAGACUCCCCCACUCAUGUCUCCCUGAAGGGUCCCCUCUAACUCUGCUCUGUGGCCUCAAGCCCCGCCUCAGUCCUCUCCUCGUCAAGCCCCAGCUCAUUCACUGCCUUGUCUCUGUGCCCAUCCCGCCCAUGCCCCAGCUUGUGAGGUGCCCUCUCUAUGCCCUCAACGGAGAAGUCCUGGAGAAGACUCUCAAGAGUCCCUUGGACAGCAAGGAGAUCCAACCAGUNNNNNNNNNNNNNNNNNNNNNNNNNNNNNNNACUGGAAGGACUGAUACUGAAGCUCCAAUACUUUGGCCACCAGAUGCAAACAGCAGCUUUGGGGCUGUUGAGGGUGUUUCUAUCUCAAACACCACCAGAUGUUUGAGAUAG